CAGAGAAUAGUUUAAGUUAAAAUUAUAAUUUUGGAGAUUAUAGAUGGGAGGAUUUCUUUCUCUGA
rnacentral:tRNA from 1 species